GCCAUGAUCUAGAUUUGUGCCUGAACGUGCCUGAUCCUGUCUGAUCUCAGAAGCUAAGCAGGAUUGGGCCUGGUUGGUACUUGGAUGGGAGGCUAUCUAGGAAGACCAGGUGCUGUAGGCG
rnacentral:rRNA from 1 species